AUUGAACGCUGGCGGCAUGCCUUACACAUGCAAGUCGAACGGUAACAGGUUAAGCUGACGAGUGGCGAACGGGUGAGUAAUGUAUCGGAACGUGCCCAGUCGUGGGGGAUAACUGCUCGAAAGAGCAGCUAAUACCGCAUACGACCUGAGGGUGAAAGCGGGGGAUCGCAAGACCUCGCGCGAUUGGAGCGGCCGAUAUCAGAUUAGGUAGUUGGUGGGGUAAAGGCCUACCAAGCCUACGAUCUGUAGCUGGUCUGAGAGGACGACCAGCCACACUGGGACUGAGACACGGCCCAGACUCCUACGGGAGGCAGCAGUGGGGAAUUUUGGACAAUGGACGCAAGUCUGAUCCAGCCAUGCCGCGUGCGGGAAGAAGGCCUUCGGGUUGUAAACCGCUUUUGUCAGGGAAGAAAUCCUCUAGGUUAAUACCCUUGGGGGGAUGACGGUACCUGAAGAAUAAGCACCGGCUAACUACGUGCCAGCCGCCGCGGUAAAAC
rnacentral:rRNA from 1 species